CGCAAAACUGUUGUGUGAGCACUUGAAAGUCGUAUGUAGCCUGGGCCAUACUGGAGACCGUGACAGCUGGAGAAAUGACUACAGUACAGGAGUUAGUUGGACUAUAUUUUAAUCUAGGUCUUCAUUAUAAGGAUAUUGCUGAUUUGCUUGUAAGUCGUCACCAUUAUAUUGUUUCGAUACGACAUUUAAAACGGAUUUAAAGUCUUGUAAUCUAUUCCGGCGCAAGGGAUACCGCGAUUCGGAUCGGGCAAUUUCAUUCAUUUAUGAACAGUUACAAACAUCUGGCCAACUCCACGGAUAUAGGUGGAUGUACACAAAAUGCAAGGAGAAUGGAUUAAACAUAAGGAAAGAGGAUGUUUGGUUAAUUCUACGAGAACUAGUGCCAAGGAGUGUUGAACUCAGAGUGAGGAGACGGCUACGUUGCCGAAACUACUUUGCUAUAGGGCCUAAUUAUAUUUGGCACUUAGACUCUUAUGACAAAUUGAAGCCUUUUGGCAUCUGUAUAAACGGCUGCAUUGACGGAUUUUCGCGGGAAAUGAUCUGGAUGAAUGCAUUUACCACAAGCAGUGACCCAAAACUUAUUGGUGGCUACUACAUGGAGGCAGUGGAAAGGUUGGGUGGUUGUCCAAGGAUUGUCCGAGGCGACCGAGGUACUGAGAAUGGUAAAGUCAGAGACUGUCAGCGCUUUCUCCGUCGCAACAUUCACGAUGGCUCUGCUAUUGACAGCUACAUUGAAGGGGCAAGCACGGCCAAUCAGAGGAUAGAAAGUUGGUGGGGCUUCCUCAGGAGAGAAUCAAUGGAGUUUUACAUCUGUCUGUUUGCUGAUCUAAAGGACCGUGGAUUGUUCGACGGUGCAUAUUUGGACAGAUCGAGGUCUAAUUCAGUUCUGCUUCAUGGGCAUGAUCCAGGAUGAUUUAGAUAAGACUACCCCAUGGGAUUCCCAUGUCAUCAGACCAUCAAAGAAUGACAGAGUGCCCAGUGGUCGACCCAGAGUCAUGUACAUGUUCCUUGAACUCCACAGAACUGAUGAUUGCGUUUCCCCAGUGGAAAGAGACGAUUUACAGCUUUGUCAGAGUAGGUGCACAUUUCGACCAACAGUGCCAUGUGACACAGACAUCUGCAACCUACUGAUGGUUGAGUCACAAUUGCAUCUUCCGGCUGAUGCUUAUCAAGCUUUGGAUUUGUAUCUGCACUUGUGAAAUGUAAUGAAAUCCAAUCUCUAAUUACAUCUACACAAAACACAUCAACAUUCUCCAGUCAGCAUGUAAAUGAUAACAGACAAAUUAACAGUGUCAGUAAGCUAUGUGUAUUAUGAAUCUUGUUAAUGUAGGAUAUUUUGCUUUGCCCUCACAUCAGUCAUGAACAGGGAAAUAUGGACACAAGCACAGCAAAGAAAUGACGCAUAUGACAUGAAUGAGAAAGUUGUAAUUUUAAUUUAACAGUAUCUUGGACAUUUUGAGUAUGUUUACCAUGUGAGGCUUCAACAAAAACAGCCAUUGGUAUUUGCCAUUUGCCAAAAUGUAAAACAAGUGAACGUGUGAAAUGCGAUAUUCUGCAGUAUUGUACAGUAAUAAUUUCUCUCCUGAAAAGGCAUAAAAUAAAUAAAACCUAACAAACAUUUAUGCUUAAUAACAAGUAAGUAAAAGUUUUACUUUUCUUACACCUAUUACAACAACUACACAGGACAGCAGACCUUUCUGGACACCAUCACUGUCCAAACGUUCUCAUGAACUGCAAGUAUGUAGUGUAUUUAACUGCUAAAUGGAAAUCUGCAAAAACUCAUGUGUCAGUACUUUACAUAAACAUUUAUGCUUCAUAAAAAAAUAAGUACAAGUUUUACUUUUCUUACAUCUAUUAUUCUUUGUAUUAUUCUAUAACAACCCAACAGGACAACAGACAAUUCUGGAGCAGGUUACCUGAACGUACAAAAAUAACUCAACAAAUUAGAUAUUAAAGUUUCCAACAACAAAUAAAUGAUGUACUUGGUUUUGAUGGAACUUUUCUUGUAAGGACACUUAUAUUUUCCCUACAAUUAGUACCAAAUUAAAAGUUCAUUUGAGCAAACAUGCUCAGAAAUUAGCAUUACCAAAUGCCCAUCACGACCACUCGGAGCCUCCUUCAAAUGUCUUGUUUUGACCGACCAUCUCACCCAAAACUCAAAGGAGUGAAUUUACAGUAAUAUCAAACAGAAAAAAACAGCAAAUCUUCGCUUUAGAAAAACUGAAAGCAAUGAAUGUUUUGGCUGGAUAUACAACCCAAACAAUUUAAAGAUAGAUCAAUUAAUCAACUAAUUGUUUUAGCACUAGAUGUUUUCACAUUUUUUUUUAUAAAGUGCAUUCAUUUAUCUGUGACGAUGAAAUUUUCACCCUCACAGUAGCUUUUUAUCAUAAACUCUCCAUUUGUUUCAUUUGUUUGUUAUUACAUUUGACAAUAUCACUUUGGAAAAACAAGGUACCAUUUAUACCUUCUGAUUACAAGUGAGCUACUGUGUUGUUUACCGCUGCAUCUUAAAUAUGUAAAUUAAACGGGAUGCAUUACAGUUUGUGUGCGAGAUGUGAAAACUAUUAAUGCUCAGUAUCUCCAAACUUCACUGAACACAGAUGGAGCCUCAUAAUUCCACGACAACACUGACAUUCGUAUUCAUGGAAGUAAAUGCAAGUGGAGUGUUGAUGAGUUACCACCUCUUUGAAAAGCUCACUCAGCUGUUGUCAUCAUUAAGCCUAUUAUUGAUUCAACUGACACCCAAACAUUGAUGGUUAAUAACAAAUAAGUAAAAGUGUUACAUUUCUUACAUCCAUUAUAACAACAAGCAUUGAUUGUCAAUAGCUAUCUCAUGUUUUAACUCCUUUUUAGGAUUAACUUUUUUUCCACACAAAAGUGAAAAGUGUAACUCUGUC
ensembl:lncRNA